UGCAGUCGACGGUGAUCUUGAGAGCUUGCUCUUGGGUGAUCAGUGGCGAACGGGUGAGUAACACGUGAGGAACCUGCCCCAGACUCUGGAAUAACCCCGGGAAACCGGAGCUAAUACCGGAUAUGACAUCAGAUCGCAUGGUCAUGGUGUGGAAAGUUUUUCGGUCUGGGAUGGCCUCGCGGCCUAUCAGCUUGUUGGUGAGGUAGUGGCUCACCAAGGCGACGACGGGUAGCCGGCCUGAGAGGGCGACCGGCCACACUGGGACUGAGACACGGCCCAGACUCCUACGGGAGGCAGCAGUGGGGAAUAUUGCACAAUGGGCGAAAGCCUGAUGCAGCGACGCCGCGUGAGGGAUGAAGGCCUUCGGGUUGUAAACCUCUUUCAGCAGGGAAGAAGCGAAAGUGACGGUACCUGCAGAAGAAGCACCGGCUAACUACGUGCCAGCAGCCGCGGUAAUACGUAGGGUGCGAGCGUUGUCCGGAAUUAUUGGGCGUAAAGAGCUUGUAGGCGGUUUGUCGCGUCUGCCGUGAAAAUCCGGGGCUCAACCCCGGACUUGCGGUGGGUACGGGCAGACUAGAGUGUGGUAGGGGAGACUGGAAUUCCUGGUGUAGCGGUGAAAUGCGCAGAUAUCA
rnacentral:rRNA from 1 species